UAUAUUUUAAUGUAAGAAAGCAUGAAAGUUUUUGAGACUUUAAGUGAUAAAAAAAUUAUCAAAUAUAA
rnacentral:tRNA from 1 species